rnacentral:lncRNA from 1 species
ACUUGAGUUACGUUGAGAAGACAACCACAGAGACUCUAGUUUUGGGUGUUGGGCCUGUGAAGGCCCAAUUGGAGGGUGCUGAAAUGGGUGUUGCAUCUGAGAACGGUGGCUGCAACUGUGGAUCAAGCUGCACCUGUGACCCAUGCAACUGCAAGUAAGGUCAAGAUGUAUAACCUUGAAGCAGAGAUAGCUGUAAUAUAUGUAUCAACAAAUAAUAAGAAGUAGAAGUUGCGUUUG